rnacentral:lncRNA from 1 species
GUGCCUUCACUUGCUCUCCAACUGUGGAUCUGGAUUCUCCACUGCCAGAAGUCAUGGAUGAAGGACCAUCCUCAGGGCCAUCUUCUGAGAAUAGAAACGGAGCAUUUGCUUUCUGAACACAUUUGUGUGUCCUUCUUCCUUCUCUUCCCUGACCAACUGGAGCACCUAUAAGAGGUAGCCUACAGCUUAUAUAAAGCUCUGUUAAAUGCCAGAAGAUGUAUUUCCUAUUCUGUCUGGUUGGCUUGCUGCUUAAAAAUCAGAAUACAGAAGAGAAGACAGUCUUGUGGAGGGUCAAAGGAGCCACUGUUUGUAGUUAUUUGGGAUCUUUGAGGAAACCCCUGCUAAAAUAACUUGAUUGAGAUUUUCCUUAGUCUGGACCAAACCUUCCCAUUAUUGGACACAGAUGGUCAGCUAGUAAUCAAUCAUCUAUAAUUAUGCUUUGGAAAAACCUCAUGAGCAAAGACCCUCGACUUGUAGUCAAAGCUACAAUUUUGUCAAGCAGCUCCAUUAGAUGUCUCAUUUCCCAGCCAUCAGGAGGAGGAAAGAGGGAAUGAAGAACAAGCUUCUUCCUGUGGGUGUGACCCAGAGGUUGUUCGUGUCACUUCUAUUCACAUUUGCUUGUGUAGAACUUACACAAUCAUACUUAACUUCAAGAAAGAUUGGGCAACAUAGUUUAUAGCGGGGAGGAUUUAUGCCCUGAAAUUGAUGGUGUCAUCUUUUCAUCUUCCCUCUCUCACCAUUAGCAUGUAAUCUGUAACUGAAUUUGAACAAUCCAACUUCCAAAUGAUUUCCAUUUUUCUCCAUAUUCCUAACAACACUUUAGUCUAAAGCGUCCUCAUCCUUGCCUAGUUUACUACAAUAACCUAAUUGGUCAGCGUGCUUCCAUUCUUGCCCCACCAAGUCAUUUCUGACACCGUGGCCGCUAAUUCUUAAGAAUAGAAACCAAAUCAUCACUCUUCUUUAAGGCCUUUAGUGUCUAUUUCCAUAGAAUAAAAUCCAUACCCUGCACCAUGAGCCGUAAGACCUGGCAAUGACCUGGCUCUACCCAAGACAAAGAAUAUCUCUUGAUACUAUUAAAUAUAGAUGUCUGGACUGAAUUGAGCUUACACGACAAUUGCAGUCAAGAUUCUGCAACUCAGAACGGGCAAACCAGCUGAAUCAAUUUACCCUGUGAUCCUGUCUGCUGGGAAGCAUUGAAAUAGUAAGGAAGUCUGAUGUGCCUGCAGGUUAAUCCAGCUGUCUGGGUACCUAAGCAUCAAGGGUGGAAAGGGAGACUGGAAGUGCAAGUCUGAAAGGAGAAAAAAGAAGGUGAAACCAGUCUGCAGGAGAAAUGACUGGGAAUUUAGAAGGAGUGGGCACCCACAAGAGAAGAGAAGACACGAAGUGAGAAAAGGCUGCUGCUUGCCAAGGCACUUUUAAGAACGGGACAUCUUAUCACUUUUCAGUUGUUUGAGCUUCUUGCUCCCCAGACUUUCAGCUAAAAUUGUGGCUGUUUUGUUGGCGGAAAUCAGUGAAAAGAAAAUGAGUUCUGUGUCUAGUUCAGUUUACAGCAGAGGCAAGACGAUGCCUGAAGCAGGUGGCAAGGAGUGAAAGGGGAGUGUGCAUGGAAGCAGCAGGUCAGAGCCAGAGUUUAUCAUGAAAGUCUGAGCCCUCGCAAACAUGGUUCAUGCACAACCCAUAAAAUUUCAUCAAACUCUCAGUCUCAAAAAUUUUACAGAGCUUUCACUCUAGCAUCUGAAAAAGGAACCAACUCCUGCUAAAUCUUGAGAAUUGACACAUUGAAGCCUUAUCUUCAGACUCUGAAAAAGCUGGAAGCUUAUCAUGGGCCUGGAUCUUGUGCUAUUCAAAUGUUUUCACCGAUGCCUACAACUGUAUUUGGCACAUAGAA